GCGGCGGACGGGUGAGUAACACGUGGGCAACCUGCCUGCAAGACGGGGAUAACUCCGGGAAACCGGGGCUAAUACCGGAUAAUAUCUUUCUUCGCAUGAAGGAAGGUUGAAAGGCGGCGCAAGCUGCCGCUUGCAGAUGGGCCCGCGGCGCAUUAGCUAGUUGGUGAGGCAACGGCUCACCAAGGCGACGAUGCGUAGCCGACCUGAGAGGGUGAUCGGCCACACUGGGACUGAGACACGGCCCAGACUCCUACGGGAGGCAGCAGUAGGGAAUCUUCCGCAAUGGACGAAAGUCUGACGGAGCAACGCCGCGUGAGCGAAGAAGGUCUUCGGAUCGUAAAGCUCUGUUGUCAGGGAAGAACAAGUACCGUUCGAAUAGGGCGGUGCCUUGACGGUACCUGACCAAAAAGCCACGGCUAACUACGUGCCAGCAGCCGCGGUAAUAC
rnacentral:rRNA from 1 species